CUCAGGCCCUGAGGACAGGAGGCUCCCUGUGGCCAUGACGACAGGUGACUGUUGCCACCUCCCUGGCUCCCUAUGUGACUGCUCUAGCAGCCCUGCCUUUUCCAAGGUUGUGGAGGCCACAGGGCUUGGACCACCUCAGUAUGUAGCUCAAGUGACUUCAAGGGAUGGCCGGCUGCUCUCAACUGUCAUCCGGGCUUUGGAUACACCGAGUGGCUAAAGGACCCAGGGCCGCGCACCGAGAAGCGGACACUGUGCUGUGACAUGGUGUGCUUUGUGUUUAUCACACCACUGGCCGCCAUCUCAGGCUGGCUGUGCCUGCGAGGGGCCCAGGACCACCUCCGUCUGCAUAGCCGGCUGGAGGCUGUAGGGCUCAUUGCCCUCACCAUCGCCCUCUUCACCAUCUAUGUGCUCUGGACACUGGUGAGUGGGUGAAGCCCGUGUGGGUGGGCUCAGCUGGGAUCCCUAGGCUGUGUGUGAGUGUUGCUUCUGCUGGGAGUGGUCCGCUCAGCUUCCUUGUUCCAGGUUGGCAUUGGAACACAGGUCUAGGGAUGCCCAAAGCCAGCAGUGAGCCGUUUGCUCCAAGUGCACAAGGACAUUUAAUCACUAUGGGUCAGGUGGGAAGAAGGAAGACAGAUCAGCAAAAGGCUGAAGCUAGGAAGAGAUUGGGAGUGAAGUAGAACAAAUACAUACUAAGAAACUGAGGGUAGGUGAGAUAUCUUAGCAGUAGAGUAGCUGGU
rnacentral:lncRNA from 1 species